rnacentral:rRNA from 1 species
GUCGAGGGGUAUAGUUCUUCGGAACUAGAGACCGGCGCACGGGUGCGUAACGCGUAUGCAAUCUACCUUUCACAGAGGGAUAGCCCAGAGAAAUUUGGAUUAAUACCUCAUAGCAUAGCAGUUUCGCAUGAAACCACUAUUAAAGUCACAACGGUGAAAGAUGAGCAUGCGUCCCAUUAGCUAGUUGGUAAGGUAACGGCUUACCAAGGCAACGAUGGGUAGGGGUCCUGAGAGGGAGAUCCCCCACACUGGUACUGAGACACGGACCAGACUCCUACGGGAGGCAGCAGUGAGGAAUAUUGGACAAUGGGCGCAAGCCUGAUCCAGCCAUGCCGCGUGCAGGAUGACGGUCCUAUGGAUUGUAAACUGCUUUUGCACAGGAAGAAACAACGCUACGUGUAGCGUCUUGACGGUACUGUGAGAAUAAGGAUCGGCUAACUCCGUGCCAGCAGCCGCGGUAAUACGGAGGAUCCAAGCGUUAUCCGGAAUCAUUGGGUUUAAAGGGUCCGUAGGCGGUUUAGUAAGUCAGUGGUGAAAGCCCAUCGCUCAACGGUGGAACGGCCAUUGAUACUGCUAAACUUGAAUUAUUAGGAAGUAACUAGAAUAUGUAGUGUAGCGGUGAAAUGCUUAGAGAUUACAUGGAAUACCAAUUGCGAAGGCAGGUUACUACUAAUGGAUUGACGCUGAUGGACGAAAGCGUGGGUAGCGAACAGGAUUAGAUACCCUGGUAGUCCACGCCGUAACGAUGGAUACUAGCUGUUGGAAGCAAUUUCAGUGGCUAAGCGAAAGUGAUAAGUAUCCCACCUGGGGAGUACGUUCGCAAGAAUGAAACUCAAAGGAAUUGACGGGGGCCCGCACAAGCGGUGGAGCAUGUGG